CACGAGUAAAGCAUGCACGGCAAUUAGAAAAGGAGUAUGAAAAAGAGGGUCAAGGCAGCUUCAUGUACUUUUUAAAUACAGAGACAAAUCUUGCUGCAUUGACGCUACCAACGAUAUAUUUCAUGAGGGUCGAAUGAUAAAUGAUGCCGAAAAUGGAGACGCAAAACAAAAUUGUGUAAUGAAAAUAGUUGAAGUCAACCAAACUCCCCAUCUAUGCACUAUCGCCGACAGAGACAUUGCAAUUGGCGAGGAACUCCGAUAUGAUUAUGGAGUACCAACACUUCCAUGGAGAAAGGCAACACAAUGACUACUAGAUCUACGGACAGCCAGGAACCAGGAAAAACAACAUCCGUACACACGGAAGAAGUCGAUGAGACGGUUUGUAAUAUUUCACUAUGUCGAAGCUACUAAGGCGUAUUUUCUGGUUUGGUUUAGUCUUCAGUGAAAUGGGCGUAAUUUUGCCUUAAAUUAUAUUGUGCCAAUAUUUAUUCCGGGUGAUGCUAAUUGGUAUUUGGGCUUAAUAUAACACGUACGUCGAUGAUCAUUAUAUUAACAUGUUAUAGCACACGUUAUGCGAAUUUUAAAAGAAUGAAAUAUUGUUUACCAGUUGUAGUUACUUUGAACUACUUGUCUUGCAAAAUCUUCAUAUACACAAAGAAUUUAGAAUUUACACCUGUCAAUGAAACUGGUGAGCAUGUGUAUUAACCACUGUAGUCUAUAA